rnacentral:rRNA from 1 species
GUGGGGAAUUUUGGACAAUGGGGGCAACCCUGAUCCAGCCAUGCCGCGUGCGGGAAGAAGGCCUUCGGGUUGUAAACCGCUUUUGUCAGGGAAGAAAUCCUUUGGGUUAAUACCUCGGAGGGAUGACGGUACCUGAAGAAUAAGCACCGGCUAACUACGUGCCAGCAGCCGCGGUAAUACGUAGGGUGCGAGCGUUAAUCGGAAUUACUGGGCGUAAAGCGUGCGCAGGCGGUUUUGUAAGAUCGAUGUGAAAUCCCCGGGCUCAACCUGGGAACUGCAUUGGUGACUGCAAGGCUGGAGUGCGGCAGAGGGGGAUGGAAUUCCGCGUGUAGCAGUGAAAUGCGUAGAUAUGCGGAGGAACACCGAUGGCGAAGGCAAUCCCCUGGGCCUGCACUGACGCUCAUGCACGAAAGCGUGGGGAGCAAACAGGAUUAGAAACCCGGGUAGUCC